GCUCAGAUUGAACGCUGGCGGCAGGCCUAACACAUGCAAGUCGAGCGGUAGCACAGAGGAGCUUGCUCCUUGGGUGACGAGCGGCGGACGGGUGAGUAAUGUCUGGGAAACUGCCUGAUGGAGGGGGAUAACUACUGGAAACGGUAGCUAAUACCGCAUAACCUCGCAAGAGCAAAGAGGGGGACCUUAGGGCCUCUCGCCAUCAGAUGUGCCCAGAUGGGAUUAGCUAGUAGGUGAGGUAAUGGCUCACCUAGGCGACGAUCCCUAGCUGGUCUGAGAGGAUGACCAGCCACACUGGAACUGAGACACGGUCCAGACUCCUACGGGAGGCAGCAGUGGGGAAUAUUGCACAAUGGGCGCAAGCCUGAUGCAGCCAUGCCGCGUGUGUGAAGAAGGCCUUCGGGUUGUAAAGCACUUUCAGCGAGGAGGAAGGCGGUAAGGUUAAUAACCUUAUCGAUUGACGUUACUCGCAGAAGAAGCACCGGCUAACUCCGUGCCAGCAGCCGCGGUAAUACGGAGGGUGCAAGCGUUAAUCGGAAUCAGGCGGUCUCCUUGUUGUGGUCGGUAUACGUUAAGUUGGAUGUGAAAUCCCCGGGCUUAACCUGGGAACUGCAUUCAAAACUGACAGGCUAGAGUCUUGUAGAGGGGGGUAGAAUUCCAGGUGUAGCGGUGAAAUGCGUAGAGAUCUGGAGGAAUACCGGUGGCGAAGGCGGCCCCCUGGACAAAGACUGACGCUCAGGUGCGAAAGCGUGGGGAGCAAACAGGAUUAGAUACCCUGGUAGUCCACGCUGUAAACGAUGUCGAUUUGGAGGUUGUGCCCUUGAGGCGUGGCUUCCGGAGCUAACGCGUUAAAUCGACCGCCUGGGGAGUACGGCCGCAAGGUUAAAACUCAAAUGAAUUGACGGGGGCCCGCACAAGCGGUGGAGCAUGUGGUUUAAUUCGAUGCAACGCGAAGAACCUUACCUACUCUUGACAUCCACAGAAUUUGGUAGAGAUACCUUAGUGCCUUCGGGAACUGUGAGACAGGUGCUGCAUGGCUGUCGUCAGCUCGUGUUGUGAAAUGUUGGGUUAAGUCCCGCAACGAGCGCAACCCUUAUCCUUUGUUGCCAGCGAUUCGGUCGGGAACUCAAAGGAGACUGCCGGUGAUAAACCGGAGGAAGGUGGGGAUGACGUCAAGUCAUCAUGGCCCUUACGAGUAGGGCUACACACGUGCUACAAUGGCGUAUACAAAGAGAAGCGACCUCGCGAGAGCAAGCGGACCUCAUAAAGUACGUCGUAGUCCGGAUUGGAGUCUGCAACUCGACUCCAUGAAGUCGGAAUCGCUAGUAAUCGUAGAUCAGAAUGCUACGGUGAAUACGUUCCCGGGCCUUGUACACACCGCCCGUCACACCAUGGGAGUGGGUUGCAAAAGAAGUAGGUAGCUUAACCUUCGGGAGGGCGCACCCUGCCUCACUAAUUAGUAACCAGGUAUCCGUAGAGUAAGGUAACCGUAGGGAA
rnacentral:rRNA from 1 species